AUUGAACGCUGGCGGCAGGCCUAACACAUGCAAGUCGAGCGGAUGAAGGGAGCUUGCUCCUGGAUUCAGCGGCGGACGGGCGAGUAAUGCCUAGGAAUCUGCCUGGUAGUGGGGGAUAACGUCCGGAAACGGGCGCUAAUACCGCAUACGUCCCGAGGGCGAAAGGGGGGGAUCUUCGGACCUCACGCUAUCAGAUGAGCCUAGGUCGGAUUAGCUAGUUGGUGGGGUAAAGGCCUACCAAGGCGACGAUCCGUAACUGGUCUGAGAGGAUGAUCAGUCACACUGGAACUGAGGCACGGUCCAGACUCCUACGGGAGGCAGCAGUGGGGAAUAUUGGACAAUGGGCGAAAGCCUGAUCCAGCCAUGCCGCGUGUGUGAAGAAGGUCUUCGGAUUGUAAAGCACUUUAAGUUGGGAAGAAGGGCAGUAAGUUAAUACCUUGCUGUUUUGACGUUACCAACAGAAUAAGCACCGGCUAACUUCGUG
rnacentral:rRNA from 1 species